AUUUUUAGCCCAGACAUUUUCUUCAAACUAAUAUUUGGAACCCGAACAUUUGUGAAUUUGAAACUCAACCAAUUUUGAAACUUGAACCCAGACUUUGAACCCUAAUUUGACACCCCGCACUUGGGAUAUCACACUGUAAUUUCCAACCCUAACCUUCAAAUCCUAAUUUGAAACCCGAACGCAAGCUCGAAACCCAAAGAUUGUCUUGAUCCGCUACCUUUUGUUUGAACCCUUAUCCACUACAUUUUGGUGCCAAUCAAAACAAAAAGUUUUGCCCCGUUAAAAAGUCCUUUGGUGCCCGAGCGCAUCGGCGUCAACUUAAAAGCGAGCGGGCCGUCAAAACCGUACCGAGCGCUCGUCGCCGGGGAUCCGCGAGGGCAUGAAAACUUUGUUCGAGAUGAAAGCGGCGGAAGCUUUUGUGGUCAUUUCCCUUCCGUCUGUCCCCAGUCUGCGUCAGUCUCGGCUCUGUAAUUAGUGCCGCCGCCGCCGCCGCGUCUCUAAUCCUGACGCCGCUUCCUGAUUCAGGCGCCAUUGUCUGAGCGCCUCAACGCUCUCGUUUGCGUCCUUAAACGGGCAGAUAAGGCUCCCCUAAGCCUUUGAAAUCGGCCCCGCCCGCAUGUAAGACCUUAUUCAAGAAUAAGCUCAGGUUUUUUGCGCAUUUCAUCAUAUUUAUUAUUAAUUAGGAAUAUGGACGAUGUCAGGUAUCGGUUUUAACCUUAUUUUUCGGUACAGGUGGAUCCUGCCCAUACCAGCCACCGACUGACCUCCUGAGUCCUCCCCAGCACUAUCCGACGGCCGUUUGACACACGAGCGAUUCAUCUUCUGCGCUGCAAAGAAAGGCUGACUUGGACUCAUUUCCAAAGGCUCUUCCUCUUAUGAGGCAGGGGCGGGUGGACCGAAAUAUUCCUCUAAACAUCUGGCGAGCGUCAAGAGCGCCACGCAAGGGCCUCCGCCAGACGCCGGGGGUCAUCCGUCAGGCCGCUGACAGCGCCACACGCUGUUCAGAGUGAGAUUUUCAGUAUGGCUGCUUGGCAGUCAUCCCUCAAGUUCUCUCCAUGAAUAGCGCCGCAUCUUGUGAGAAUGAAUCGAAAUGAAGGAUGGAAGAGCAGCCGAUCCCGAGGUACGCCGCUCGCCCAAUGAAAACGCAGCUUGGCCUUUCACCGGCAUCCGUCAACGUCCACUUUGGAGUGCCGCUUCGUCGCCGUCGCCCCCUUUCAACGAUAGCGCCUGCCCCCUCCCGCCCCGCCGAGCUCUACCUCUCCCCUUCGACUCUCAUCCCCCCCCCCCCCCCCCCCCGUCUGAUAUUGGCUCAUCACACUUAAUCUGUCCUGAGAUCCGCCGUUCUGUGCUAAAUGACUCGCAGCCCGCGGGCCGGGGCGCCGGCGAACGAGGGGAGAUAUUUAUUUUUCUCGGGGCUAAUGACCUGUCGCCGGGCCCCGCCCACUGAUGGUUAUUUACUGGGGCCCAGAUGCUGGCGCUCAAAAUGAGUGGUCAUGUCAGCAAGGGCCUCCAUCCUUCACGGGACCCACCUCCACCCCUCCCGACCCCCCACACCCCCACCCCUCGCACCCCCCCCCCCCCCCCCCCCGCCCCUGAUUGAAUCUCGCGGAUCCCAUUGACAUUGACUCCAUGACUUUUAAGGCCAUUACCUUCCUCCGCCCACCAUGAUCACCUCGUCCUGGCCAAGAGAGCUGACAGCUGAUUAGCAACAAAUUACUGACAGGAGAAGGCUGUGUAGGAGUAGGGGAGCGGGGGGGGGGGGGGGGGGGGGGGGAGAGGGGGGGGUCUGCGCUCAUGGUAAUGUAAUAAGCACGGAGGGGCUCAUAUGCUGACGCUCGCCACCAGGAGGACACCAGCAGCUGCUGCUGCUCAUUGGUGGAGCGCCACGGCACUUCCUGUCUGGUCCAGAAAGGCGCCGCGACGAGGGCGCGCGGCGGUGAAGGAUUGGUCGCCAAACUCCAAUGUGGGCGGGCGUAUGAACGCAAAUCGACGUGGACCGCUACGACCACUCCCGAGGGCCACGGAUGCAAAAGUAAAUCAAGAUGAAUGCUGGAGGGAUGAGAAUCGGGCUUUGGUUGGGGUUUCAAGAGGGGGCGGGGGGGUUAAAGGGUGGGGGGUGACUUUUCCAGUGUGCGUCCAUGAGAGAUGAGUGGCAUUGUCAUUGAAUUUGUUUAAAUGGAAGUCCUCCUGCUGCUACUGAUGGACUUGCACCGACGUUAGCAUUAGCCGGCGCUAAAUUGGCGUGCCGCGUGACGUCGUUCCUGCUUGCUGACCUCCUUUGAAUCUGCCGUGUAGCUGUUAGCCGUUAGCAUCCAAUCACACGCAAAUCUUCUCUCAUUCUCAAGUCAUUUGGGACACCCAUAAGUU